GUUGACAGUUUAACCCUGAGUCAUCCUAAACACAGGGGUCAAAAAGAUGAAUUAUACAGUAACCAUAUUCAUGUAGAUUCUGAGUGUUGCGAUUGCGACUCUUCGACCUAUCCGGACAUCGGGUACCAUUUCUAGAUGGUCACUUCGAUUAGUACAGGAAUUGGUUCCUGUGCUACCGGCUUAGGUUCGAACCUGUGGGGUCACACACAUUAAAAGUUUCUAUCUGAUCUGAUGGCUGAUAUAGAAUCCUAUAUGUUUGAGACUCAGUGAUCGAAAAUCAGGAUUCUCUGAUCAUGAGUUCCACACAUUAUGGGUACCGGGGUCAAGAGUC
rnacentral:lncRNA from 1 species